UAGGGAAUCUUCCACAAUGGGCGAAAGCCUGAUGGAGCAACGCCGCGUGAGUGAGGAAGGCUUUCGGGUCGUAAAGCUCUGUUGCCAGGGAAGAAUAAGGAUCAUUUAACUGAUGAUCCGAUGACGGUACCUGAGAAGAAAGCCCCGGCUAACUACGUGCCAGCAGCCGCGGUAAUACGUAGGGGGCAAGCGUUGUCCGGAAUUAUUGGGCGUAAAGCGCGCGCAGGCGGCUCUUUAAGUCUGGUGUUUAAGUGCGGGGCUCAACCCCGUGACGCACUGGAAACUGGGGAGCUUGAGUGCAGAAGAGGAGAGCGGAAUUCCACGUGUAGCGGUGAAAUGCGUAGAGAUGUGGAGGAACACCAGUGGCGAAGGCGGCUCUCUGGACUGUAACUGACGCUGAGGCGCGAAAGCGUGGGGAGCAAACAGGAUUAGAUACCCUGGUAGUCCACGCCGUAAACGAUGAGUGCUAGGUGUUGGGGGUAUCAUGCCCUCGGUGCCGAAGUUAACACAUUAAGCACUCCGCCUGGGGAGUACGGUCGCAAGACUGAAACUCAAAUGAAUUGAC
rnacentral:rRNA from 1 species